CCCCCCCGUCCUCUCAUUAGUUGGUCGGCGCAAAACUCGUUACAGCCAUCAUCGACUCGCAGAACACAUUUGAGCAAUCGGCGCACGUGACCGCAUUGAAUAAUGUCCCGCCAUUCGGUUUCUUUUUACGCCACUUAUCCGCAUUCGGGGCGACGGGUGGACUACACCCGGAAUUGGUUGCCAGUCCAAUCGCAAAGGACACAACAAGCAUUCACGCUCACAUUUAGGACGACUCGGUGACCCUAACAUGCAUGUUUUUGCACAGCUCUCACUGCUGUGACAGUUUCCAAAAUCAUCGCCGUUGGGAAAUUCCUCUUUUGACUUGAAUUUACACGAUAGAUAAAUAAAAAGACUUCAUUGAAACCCGGCGGCGGCGGCAGUAAAAAUGACUCCGCGCGUGCCAGUGAGCACCGACGUUUUCUUCAACAAUAAAUCCAGCAUCGCAUCGGCUUGGUGAUCAUCUGCGUUUGCCAUCAGAAUAAAAGAAAAA